AUGUCAAGGUACCUUAAAGCCUGUAAAAAUGCAUAAAUUAGCCGCAUCAUUGUUUAAGCCGCAGUGUUCAAAGCACGUGAAUAAAGUAGCGGCUUAUACUCCGGAAAUUACGGUACAUUGUUCCAUAUU